ensembl:snoRNA small nucleolar RNA SNORA49
CCUCCCUGUCUAACACCAGGAACUCUGUCAUUGUGCAGAGUCCUGGCUCAACAAGGGGACAGACUACUUUGCUCUCUUCCCUCCCUGCUGGGUGUUGUUCCCUCCAGGGCCUAAAGAGAUGCAAACAAU